CGGCUCGCCACCUCCGCCCGUCUCAUGCUUGUCUCUGAUCUCGACCACACCAUGGUUGAUCAUCAUGACCCGGAGAGCCUCUCGCUGCUCCGGUUCAACGCGCUGUGGGAAUCGCUCUACCGCCACGACUCGCUGCUCGUUUUCUCGACCGGGCGGUCGCCAACACUCUACAAACAACUGAGGACGGAGAAGCCGAUGCUGACACCGG
rnacentral:misc_RNA from 1 species